GCACCUCCAUCCACGCAGCCUUUGCCAGGGGAGCCCCGUCCUGCUGGGAGGGCAGUGGAGGCCAGCAGCCCAGGGCCCAGCGUCGUGCCCAGGGAGAAGUCGGCCGGCUGGGCGGAGGUGGGCAGCGCAGUCCUGGGCUCCCCAGCUUCUUCCUGCACCGGCCCCACCUCUGCCUCCGUCCACCCCCACAGCCCUGGGGCCAGACCACAUGCAUUCAGCAGGUGCACAAUAAGUGCCUGCCCAGGGGACCGGGAUGUCACCAGAGGCCUCUGUGGAAUGAGCCAGGAUGAGGGAGGGGCUGGGAGAAGCAGAGGAGCUGCCUCGGUCUCCCCACCUGGAACCCGAGAGCAAAGGCACAGAGCCACAGAGACAGGUGGGGACGCCAGGGCUCGUCCCCAGAGUGCUCGAAACCCACCCGCACCUGCCAUCCCAAGGUCCAGCGCUGGGCAGAGCCCUGCGGCCUGUGACGCUCUUGGCCACCCGAGGGGCAGGUCCCAUGGGGCCGUUCUGUAUUUAGAUGCUGAACUGAGCCCAGAGAGGUGAAGGGCCGUGCCCGAGGACACACAGCCAGAGAGGGGCUGAGCUGGACCCAAGCCCACCCCAGGCCCCUGCUGGACGGCAACGGCUGGGGAAGGAGGACCGGGCUCCUGGAGGAGGGGGAGGCCGACCCAGGCCCUGCAGAGGCUCAGCCUCCAGGGCACGGCCACCCUGAUCCCCACGAGGCCCAUGUGUGCUCUGAACCAGAAACCGCCCCCGCUGUCAAUCAGGAGGCUGUGGGGGGCACCGAGGCCCGGCCACUGUGGAUGCCCAGCCGGGAGGCGGGCAGACAGCGAGCCGGCCACUGCGGGCUGUUUCCAUGGCAACGGUGCCAGCUGCCCUCCCUCUGCGUGGGCCGCAUCCUGCCUCUGCCAGGCACAGAAUGGGCUGUGUCGCACUGCCCCCUCUGCCAGGCGUCCUGGGGUCCUCAGGUGCCCCAGCUCAUCUGCCACCCAGCAGAGCUGACCAGCCAGACGCCCGCCCAGCAGCCAGCACCAGCAGAGGUGUUUGAGGAUGUCACCUUCACAGAUGUCAGUCACUUAAUUCUCCUGACGACCCAUUUGAUAGAGAAGACGGAGACCUAAAAGGCAAAACCGCGUGUCCAGCAUCUGGGACAGUAACGAGCAAGCCUGUGAUCUUCCCGCCAACGAGGAGCAGGACCCACGCGGGACGGGGAACUGGACACACUGGCCCCACGGGUACUUCCCCGCCGUGGGACAGGGUGGCCAACAGACCCUCAGCCUUCCGGCCCCUCUUCCCGCUACGUCCGCCUCAGAGCAGCGGCUGUCCCUGGGCUUGGUGGCCAAUGAUGAGCCAGGAGGAGUCUGGCGCAGACGCGGUCACGGCUCCGGCUCCCUCCCAAGAAUUUAAAUGGCUGUCUUGAAUGACUGCUGUUGACAAGAUCAAUAAAAUUGAGCUACCGUUGUCUCGGCCCUUGGCAGACACGCAGCGCGCAGGAGUGGGGCUGGUGGCCACGGCGGCCCGGGCCUCCUGGCAGGCUAGGCUGGCCGGGGCUUGGGAAGCAGGAAACGCAGAUGAACUUGAAUGUCUGACCUCCCCGUGGACUUCACUUUCCCCCGACAAAGUGAGCGAACACUGGCCCGUCCCGGGUCCCCUUUCCUCUGCUUUUUAAGAUGGCAGCUGGCCACCGAGUACCCUCGUCCAUGCUCAGAGACUGGAGGGAGUCCCUUAGCACCAAUUCCCACCUUCUGGGAAAAUCUUCUGUGUUCACAAUGGCUGUCACCACAGCGGUGACCCUGGGGCCACUAACGACCAGAACGUGACUCCAGCAGUGGAGUUGAGAGAGGAAAGGUUCAAGACAAAACCCAAACACACAACAAAACCUUCAAGUAAAAUUCGCGGGGGGCUGGGGAUGUGGCUCAAGUGGUAGCGUGCUUGCCUAGCAUGCGUGAGGCACUGGGUUCGAUUCUCAGCACCACAUAAAAAUAAAAUAAAGAUAUU